UACGUAGGGGGCUAGCGUUGUCCGGAUUUAUUGGGCGUAAAGAGCGUGUAGGCGGCCAUGUAGGUCCGGUGUGAAAACUCGAGGCUUAACCUCGAGAUGUCAUCGGAAACCAUUUGGCUAGAGUCCGGAAGAGGAGAGUGGAAUUCCUGGUGUAGCGGUGAAAUGCGCAGAUAUCAGGAAGAACACCAAUGGCGAAAGCAGCUCUCUGGGACGGUACUGACGCUGAGACGCGAAAGCGUGGGGAGCGAGCAGG
rnacentral:rRNA from 1 species